CCAGAUGUACGUGGCCGCGGGAAGUCGAUCCAGGGUUCCAAUUCUGAUGGUCUAGGCAAGGAAAGACAGGAGAGCCUGUCUUUGACACCCAGCUGUCACAGCGAAAACCUACUGUGUGCCAGGUGCCGGAGAUACAAAAAAACCAUGGGAUGCUUGUGUUCUAGGUGCUUUAUAUGUAGCAAGACACAGUCUCCGUCCUGAAGACACUCGCAGGUCACUCGAGGUUGCAUCAGGUGGGGGCAAACACGCAUUCUCCCAACAGUCUGAGAAUGCAGAACACUUCGGAGAUUAGGCCGGCCCUGCAGGGGAAGACAGACACGCCCUCUCCGAAGGGCAGACCCGCCUCGAGAAGGGCGGACCCGGGCAGGGCCGGCAGCCGGGCCCUCGCCCGACCCCCGCGAAAGCGGCCCAGCGCAGCGCCCGCUCCUCACGUGUCCCUCCCGGCCCCGGGGCCGCCUCACGUUCUGCUUCCGUCCGACCCUUCCGACUUCCGGUAAAGAGUCCCCAUCCCGCACCUCCGCGCCCACCCGGCAUCGCCACGCGGCACCUCUGUGUGCCCGGCCCCCGAUGCGCUCGGCGGCCGCAGCUCCUCGGGGCCCCGCAGCGGCCAUCGAGCCUCGUCGCUUCGCCGCGGCCAGGUGGCCCGGGAGGCGCUCGCUCCCGCGGCCGGCGCGGCGGGGCGGGCGGGGCGGCAGCGGCGGGGCUCCAAGACCGUAUCCCUCCGCCGCCCCUCCCCCGCCCGGCCCCGGCCCCCCUCCCUCCGGGCAGCGCUCACCUCCCUCCGCCUCAGACUGUUUUGGUAGCAACGGCAACGGCGGCGGCGCGGCCCGGCCCGGCUCCCGGCGGCUCCUCGGUUUCGGCGGGCCUCCCCGCCCCUUCGUCGUCCUCCUUCUCCCCCUCGCUCGCCCGGGCGCCCCCCCGGCCGCGCCAACCAGCGCCUCCUCGCUCGGCGCCCGCGCGUCCCCGCCGCGCUCCGGCGUCUCCUCGGCGCGCCCGGCUCCCGGCUGUCCCCGCCCGGCGUGCGGGCCGGUGUAUGGGCCCCUCACCAUGUCGCUGAAGCCCCAGCAGCAACAACAGCAGCAGCAGCAGCCCACGGCCGCCAAUGCCCGCAAGCCUGGCGGCAGCGGCGGCCUUCUCACGUCGCCUGCAGCCGCGCCGUCGCCGACCUCGUCCUCAGUCUCGUCGUCCUCAGCCGCGGCUUCCUCCUCCUCUACGGUGGCGGCGGCUAGCGCAGGCGGCGGGCGGCCGGGCCUGGGCAGAGGUCGAAACAGUAGCAAAGGACUGCCUCAAUCUACGAUUUCUUUUGAUGGAAUCUAUGCAAAUAUGAGGAUGGUUCAUAUACUUACAUCAGUUGUUGGAUCCAAGUGUGAAGUACAAGUGAAAAAUGGAGGUAUAUAUGAAGGAGUUUUUAAAACAUACAGCCCUAAGUGUGAUUUGGUACUUGAUGCUGCACAUGAGAAAAGUACAGAAUCCAGUUCGGGGCCAAAACGUGAAGAAAUAAUGGAGAGUAUUUUAUUCAAGUGUUCAGACUUUGUUGUGGUACAGUUUAAAGAUAUGGACUCCAGUUACGCACGAAGAGAUGCUUUUACUGACUCUGCUAUAAGUGCUAAAGUGAAUGGUGAACACAAAGAGAAGGACCUGGAACCCUGGGAUGCAGGUGAACUCACCACCAAUGAGGAACUGGAGGCUUUGGAAAAUGAUGUUUCUAAUGGAUGGGAUCCCAAUGAUAUGUUUCGAUAUAAUGAAGAAAAUUAUGGUGUAGUGUCUACAUAUGAUAGCAGUUUAUCUUCGUAUACGGUGCCCUUAGAAAGGGAUAACUCAGAAGAAUUUUUAAAACGAGAAGCACGGGCAAACCAGUUAGCAGAAGAAAUUGAAUCAAGUGCCCAGUAUAAAGCCCGGGUGGCCCUGGAAAAUGAUGAUAGGAGUGAAGAAGAAAAGUACACUGCAGUUCAGAGAAAUUCCAGUGAACGUGAGGGCCACAGCAUAAACACUAGGGAAAAUAAAUAUAUUCCUCCUGGACAAAGAAAUAGAGAAGUCAUAUCGUGGGGAAGUGGGCGACAGAAUUCACCGCGUAUGGGCCAGCCUGGGUCAGGCUCCAUGCCGUCAAGAUCCACCUCUCACACUUCAGAUUUCAACCCGAAUUCUGGUUCAGACCAAAGAGUAGUUAAUGGAGUUUUUAUACUUUCCUUCAUAUCAUUUGUUCUGUCAGGUGUUCCCUGGCCAUCGCCUUGCCCAUCUCCUUCCUCUCGCCCACCUUCUCGCUACCAGUCAGGUCCCAACUCUCUUCCACCUCGGGCAGCCACCCCUACACGGCCGCCCUCCAGGCCCCCCUCGCGGCCAUCCAGACCCCCGUCUCACCCCUCUGCUCAUGGUUCUCCAGCUCCUGUCUCUACUAUGCCUAAACGCAUGUCUUCAGAAGGGCCUCCAAGGAUGUCCCCAAAGGCCCAACGACACCCUCGAAAUCACAGAGUUUCUGCUGGGCGGGGUUCCAUUUCCAGUGGCCUAGAAUUUGUAUCCCAUACCUCACCAAGUGAAGCAGCUGCUCCUCCAGCAGCAAGGACUAGUCCCGCAGGGGGCACAUGGUCUUCAGUGGUCAGCGGGGUUCCAAGAUUAUCCCCUAAAACUCACAGACCCAGGUCUCCCAGACAGAAUAGUAUUGGAAAUACUCCUAGUGGGCCAGUUCUUGCUUCUCCCCAAGCUGGUGUUAUUCCAACUGAUGCUGUCCCUAUGCCUUUACCAGCUGCAUCUCCUACGCCUGCCAGUCCUGCAUCCAACAGAGCUGUUACCCCAUCCAUUGAGGCUAAAGAUUCCAGGCUUCAAGAUCAGAGGCAGAACUCUCCUGCAGGAAAUAAAGAAAAUAUGAAGUCCAAUGAGACAUCACCUAGCUUCCCAAAAGCUGAAAGUAAAGGUAUAUCACCAGUUGUUUCUGAACAUAGAAAACAGAUUGAUGAUUUAAAGAAAUUUAAGAAUGAUUUUAGGUUACAGCCAAGUUCUGCUUCUGAAUCUGUGGAUCAACUGCUAAACAAAAGUAGAGAGGGAGAAAAAUCAAGAGAUGUGAUCAAAGACAAAAUUGAACCAAAUGCUAAGGAUUCUUUCAUUGAAAAUAGCAGCAACUGCACCAGUGGCAGCAGCAAGCCGAGCAGCCCCAGCAUUUCCCCUUCAAUCCUCAGUAACACGGAGCACAAGAGAGGACCUGAGGUCACAUCUCAGGGGGUUCAAACUUCCAGUCCAGGGUGUAAACAAGAGAAAGAUGAUAAAGAGGAGACGAAAGAUGCAGCUGAGCAAGUGAGGAAAUCAACAUUGAAUCCCAACGCGAAGGAGUUCAACCCUCGUUCCUUUUCUCAGCCAAAGCCUUCUACCACCCCAACCUCACCUCGUCCUCAAGCACAACCUAGCCCAUCUAUGGUGGGUCAUCAGCAGCCAACUCCAGUUUAUACUCAACCUGUUUGUUUUGCACCAAAUAUGAUGUAUCCAGUCCCAGUGAGCCCAGGUGUGCAACCUUUAUAUCCUAUACCUAUGACGCCCAUGCCAGUGAAUCAAGCCAAGACAUAUAGAGCAGGUAAAGUACCAAAUAUACCCCAACAACGGCAAGACCAGCAUCAUCAGAGCACCAUGAUGCAUCCAGCCUCAGCAGCAGGUCCACCAAUUGUUGCCACCCCACCAGCUUAUUCCACACAAUAUGUUGCCUAUAGUCCUCAGCAGUUUCCAAAUCAACCUCUUGUUCAGCAUGUGCCACAUUAUCAGUCUCAGCAUCCUCAUGUCUAUAGUCCUGUAAUACAGGGUAAUGCUAGAAUGAUGGCACCACCAACACAUGCCCAGCCUGGUUUAGUAUCUUCUUCAGCAACUCAGUACGGGGCUCAUGAGCAGACACAUGCGAUGUAUGCAUGUCCUAAAUUACCAUACAACAAGGAGACAAGCCCUUCUUUCUACUUUGCCAUUUCCACUGGCUCCCUUGCUCAACAGUAUGCGCACCCUAAUGCUACCCUGCACCCACAUACUCCACAUCCUCAGCCUUCAGCUACUCCCACUGGACAGCAGCAGAACCAGCAUGGUGGAAGCCAUCCUGCACCCAGUCCUGUUCAGCACCAUCAGCACCAGGCUGCCCAGGCUCUCCAUCUGGCCAGUCCACAACAGCAGUCAGCCAUUUACCAUGCAGGGCUCGCUCCAACCCCACCUUCCAUGACACCUGCCUCCAAUACGCAGUCGCCACAGAAUAGCUUCCCAACAGCACAACAGACUGUCUUCACGAUCCAUCCUUCUCAUGUUCAGCCGGCAUACACCAAUCCACCCCACAUGGCCCAUGUACCUCAGUUCUGGUUCAAGGUAUCUCUAGAAAAAGACAAGACUGAGAUAUUCUGUUGGUGGAUAGAGGUCUGCUUCAGAAGGAGAAAGGCUGGCCAGAGUUGGGCAGCACUGAAAUUCCACGUCCUCAGCCUGCCACUGAUUCUAAAUGAUCAAAGGCAGAAGAUUUAUACCAGAUAAAGCCAUAUGGAUUGCUGGUCUAAAAUUCAAGGCAGGUUAGUUGACUUAAUUCUUUGGUGCUGGUGACUGUUAGUUUGUAAAAGUUCAUUAAAGUCGGAUGAAGGAAGGGAUGAUGAUGGGAGCAGUCAAAGCUGUCCUUGUCUGUAACUAGAGAUAACCAGAGGGCUUACUGUCCUUUGGCACUCAGAGCCUGGGCUCUCAGUGGAGGCUGCUGGCUUGGCUUCUUGCUGCCAGCAGUGGUCACACUGGGACUGGAAGGAGGGUGGGGGAAUGUGCUAUGACUGUGGUGGGCUGAUUGCAGCCAUCAGGGUAGCUGCCUCACUGCCUGUGAGGAUAUCAAGCCUAGGAACCCAUUGCUCCCCCCACCUCCAGCUCUGCUCUAGCAGAAGGCAUUGGCUUAGUGUCACUUCUUCCCAGGCCAUGAGGGAGCUUUUUGUCAGAAGGUAUUUGAGCUGUCCUGGUAACUCAAACACAUUUAGAAAUGUUUUUCUUCUCUGUGAACAUUUUACACUGAAGCAAUCUGGAAGUUGUUGACUCGGUCACAGAGUUUGAGCUUGCACUUUGUAGCCAGUAGGACAGAGGUGCUUGCUUGCUGUGCCUGGCUUGCCUCUCCGCACUACCUGAGAACUCGAUGACAAGAGGCUAAGAAGUGAGUGCCGCUGUGGCUUGAGGAGGUCAUAUCCCAGAUGUUUGUUUACCCUUCUGAGGGGAGGGAGGGAACUUACUUAUUUGAUUCAUUGUCUACCUCGCCCUUUGCCUGUGCAGACAAGGGGAAAAACUAUACCAGUGAUAAGUCAGCAUUGACUUUCUUUGAGAAAUCCAAAAUAGUGCUUACUCCUGGCUCACAUUUUGCUUUUAGCAUUCCUUAUUCACAGAGACCUACUUGAUAUGUGGACAGUGAAGGAAAGACAGGUGACCCCAAUGCAGAUCAGGGUUGGAUCUGCUUUACCAUCUCUGAAAACAUCCAGGAGUGUGGGUUUUAAAGUGAUGGGAGGGAGAGGUGGCUGCUGACCUUCUUGCCCCUCCUAAAGCCUGACCUCUCACCUCUUAGUGUACAGAGAAUGAAUGGCUGGAGGGAACAGACCAAACCCUCACCCCAGAAAUAGGCAGUUUAGUUCAGGCCAAGGUUUAAAUUUAGCCUUUGAUUGAAGUAUCUAUAAAUGUUAAGCUGUGCUGAACUCUUGGUUUCCUAGAAGCCACUUUGGUCAGCCUGGCGGCUGUACUGAAUGGCUCUGCUGGCACCCAGGAGCAGCUGACUCCAUUGGGUCACUGCUUCCCUUGUUUCCAAGCCUCUGCAUGAAAGUUCUGGGAGGAGCCAGCCUCCUAUCAAUUGUAUCAUUUGUGAAAGGCAAGUAUAGAUGGAGAUCCAACUGCAGAACCUCCCUGGAUGUUGAGGGUAUGUGUGCCUAUGUAUGUAUACACGCACACACGUUCUUCAUCACAUGAGGCAGUAACCAGCUAGAACAGAACAGUAAUUGCGAGCUGUUAAAGGAUUUUCUCAUUAGCUGUGGCACCAGAUUCCCAGCUUCCAUUUUGGCUCAAGAAUGAGCUUAAAACUUUGUGGGAUAAUUUAAUACACUUUCAGAUGCUUGGAGGCUCUGAGCCAGCCCUGUUGGCCAAGAGUUUACUAGGAAGGGCCCAGCAGCCCUUCUUUCCUUUUUGCUUGCCCCUUCCUUACCUCUCAGUUUAACUCUCGCUGUAAAGCUACUAUAAACCAGAAUCGUUUUUUAUUCAUAAGGCACCAGGGUGGAACUAUUCCUUGCCACCCUCCUAUUUCAGUAAUUGCCUGAAUUUCCCUGAAAGAGUGACACGCUUUUUACUUCUCUACAUUUAGGAAGGACAGUGGCUUCUCAGGAACAGGUGACUGUUCUUUGGAGGCAUACUAGACAAGGAAGCCAGUCAAGGAAGGUUUGCAUAGCUAUCUCUGACUACAAAAAUCGCAUGGGUAUUAAUUCAGACAGUGCAAUGAAAUAAGCAAUGGUUUAAUUUUUGAAACCUGAAUCCUUUGAAAAGUUAAUUUGAGGUAAAAAUGUUUAAAAUCAUUUUGAUAUUUAGCUUGUCCAUCUGCCAGAGCUUUGUCCUAAAACCGAGUCAAAGCAGGAUAAGUGUGGUCACCUGUGGCAUGGGUACAUCAGACCUGCCACGUGGACUGAAGCUACAAUGGGAAACCUAUAGGAGAAGCCAGGGCUUGUUAGUGUUUUGGGCUUCCUGAUGCCCCCCACCCAAAGUAGAAAGUCUGUCAGCUGUGACAGUGUCAGUGAAAAAUAGAACAAGUUUCCACUGCCAACUCGGGCCCUCACCCUACUACCUCCUCCAAAACUGAUGGGGACUGGUCCUGGGAACCCCGGGCAGGAGCUGGUGGCAUCCGUGAACAAGAACUACAUCUGUAAACAAUAGGAGACAGUCAAGUGAGAAUGAAACUUAUAGGAGGCCCUUUAACAGGCCUAAUAGAAGGGUCACAUCCAAACUGGAAUCAACAGUUAACAGUGUCCCUUAAAUCUCUCUCUGGAAGGAAGGAAAGAAAAUUACAUUCACAAGUUCAUGUCUCUGCUUGCUUAUGUUCCUCUGGGGCAUCUGGGAUUCCUCCCAGCCUGUCAGAGAGGUGUGUACUGAUUGUCUAUGGCCCGCAGGUGGCUCCGGGAGGAGGAGUCCAUUUCAUAGUCUGAGUCCCGGGCUCGACUGGCAGGCUCAGGCUCCAGGUGCCUCAGGCUGCUGGCCAGUUCCUCAGGCGAAGGCACCAGGUGGAAGAUCUGCUCUGGGGGAGAGGAUCGGCCUGGGAGACCCUCUGGGCCGAGCCCCCUCGGACAGCCAGAAGCACUAAGGUGGGGAAGGCCCAGCUCUGAAUCCCAGCGAGAGAGGGAGAAAGGGAACAGGACGGCAUUGGAGGAACCUGGGGGGAAAAGUGACCAAGAGAGAAACCACUGUCAGUCUUAACAGAGCAGGACCAAGUGUUGGAAAGACACAAAAUGAGGUCUCUGCCUCCCUGAGUUUGCAGUGAGCUUUCACCCUCUACCCGGUUGCCAGUGCCACCGCCCCAUUUACCAAGGGGCAUUAGGGUCACACCUGGUGGCUGGGAGACAACUACCACGUAGCUGGAUAGCCGGACGUCACAGGCGGCACCGCACUCGAGUGGGAUGGGUGAACGCUGGAAGUGGUGGAGCAUGUGCAUGACCGAGGGGAAGUGGAGGUGUUGUACUCGGCACUGGCCCCGCUCAGUCAGUGACAGGCGCAGGUGCUGCAGGAAGAGGAUGGCCGGGGCUCAGGCAUUGACCCCUAAGGGCCUUGAAAAUGAAGAGGGUGAAGCCCUCCACCCCACCUCACCCUGUACCUUGGCUAUGCCCUGGAAGUUGAAUGUGAGCACAUAUUCCCCACGCCUCGUCUCACUCUGCCGGACCAGGAACACUCCGUGAGCAUCAGGACCCUGCAGCUGAACCAGCUGUGCUGCCUUCACCCGGGAGAUGGGGCCAUGGAACCAGGGGUAGCAGGACAGGAAAUGAUCUGUUUUCUGGCAGGCUGGGUCUAGCAACCCCCCAGGAGAAGCACCUGGCAGAAAAGAAGUUACGUGGUGGUGACCCUUUGUUGGGUACCUUAUGUCCUGGGCUAGGGCUGGGAUCCAACGUUACUGGAGGAAAAAGGCCCUGACCCCCUCACCUUGGUUCAGGGAAUCUGUGCUUCCCCUUGGAGAGUUAAACGUGCUGGGCUCUAAGGCUGAGGAUAUGUGCGUCUCUGGGUCUGUGUUCUCCAGUCUGCUGGAGAAGAGUCUGGGGUUAAGGAUCUGGGUAGGUCAGAAGUAGCAGUAAAAGCUGCGCCAGGAGGGGGGCCCUAGGGUCUGGGGCCUCACCCUUGGCCUGUGCACUCCCGAAGCUCAGCCAUCCAUGAAUUCAGCUGCUGCUCAUCUCCAACCUCAAAGAUGAUGUCUGUCCGGUCCUUCACCUGGCAAGGAGAAAGGAACAGCUAUGUGAGACCCUCAAGGUCUGUCUAUACCGCACUCUCCUUCCCCCCACCCUGAGUGUGGAAAGCUGUCUCUCACCUUCAGCACAAAGGUGUAGAGGUUGUCGGGCAUCUCGAGACGUGUGCAUCGCCGAAUCUCCUGGAUGCUAGAACAGGCUGCUUGUAGCUUGGGCUUUGAACUCUAGGAGACCAAGGGAGACAUUCAAGGCUUGUCCCACUGACCCUUUGAUCACCCAGGCCUCUGCUCUUUUCCGCAGUCUCUCCAGGGGCCUAGCUUGCUGAGCACAUGUGAGUGAUGCAUGGAGUGGUGCGAGCUCAGGUACCCUGGGGAUGGAGUGGGUGCCCGCGUUCUCGCUUGCAGAAGGUGUACUCGCACGCGCGCGCGCACACACACACACACACUGAGCUCCCCAGAAACAUUUGGGCUAAGGGCCAAUCUCGGCUUCACCUAGAUCUGUAGACAUUCCAGCUCUGACAGGUAUUUGCUGGCUGAAAUCUUUCUCUUCCCACUGGGGGAGCAAAACUCCCCAAUCCCUAACCUGGCCAGUCACACUGGCUGCUGACUCCUUCAUCCCAGCAAACCCAGAGAGCAGACAUGAGGCUAUCCAACCCCAGGUCCCUCUGUGGUGCUGGCUGACUGCCAGGGGCCCCAGGCCUUUACCUUGCCUUUAGCUCCACUCCUCCCCUCCACUGGCUGUCCACUAGCACAGGUCUCUCCCAGCCUAACAGCAGCCCUAGGAAGCAGAUACUAUCACCGCAACUUAAAAAGAAGAAACUUGGAGUUCUUAUUGUGGCUUAGUGGGUUAAGAACCCCACCCUGUCUCCUUGAGGAUGUGGGUUCGAUCCCUGGCCUUGCCCAGUGGGUUAAGGAUCCAGCACUGCCGCAAACUGUGGCAUAGGUUGUAGAUGUAGCUUGGAUCCAGUGUUGCUGUGGUCAUGGCAUAGGUCGGCAGCUGCAGCUCCAAUGCGACUCCUAGCCUAGGACCUUCCAUAUGCCACCGGUGUGGCCCUAAAAAGAAUAAAAAUGAAAAGAAGAAACUGAAAUUUUGAAAGUGAAGUCAUUUGCCUGAGGAAGUGGACCUCUCUCCACAGAGCCUAGAAUCUCAAGCUCCCAAACACACCUAACUAACCUGUUUUGCCUUCAGGUGUUAGGACCAGCAGACAUGGAUUUGGCUGUGGGGUGGGGAUUGGCAGAGCAGCUUAGCUUAUGGACUCGGUGUUUCUGCCAGUGUGCCCUUUUGUCUGGCUUGGCUGGCCCCAGUUACAACCAGCUGGAAAGCCACACAAAACCUUGGGCUCUGGAGCCUCCCACAACAUACAGCACACACAGGGCUCAGAGUGGGUCGGGGUGACCCUCUACCCUUUUACCAGCAAAAGGCUCCUGACUGAACCUGGCUGGAGCAUGGGCUGACCCUGCAGAUGUCUGUUCCAGGGUGCAGGAAGUUUUUGCAGAAAGGAGAUCACACUUUACCACCCCCAUCUCCACAUCCUCUUGUGAUAAGGCUGAUGAGAUUGUUUCCCUGGGAUCAGGAGAUGAUUGAUGGCUUCCAGCAGAGACCAAAAGAAGAUGAACAUGGAGGAAGGAGCAAGAUGCGGCGAGUGGACAGAGGAGACCCAACUCCAAUGGGGCCCUUCUCCCUCUAACAGCUCUUUUCCUUGGAGCCAGGAGACAGCAAGGUGCCCCUGGAAAGUGCCACAACCCCCGCCUGCCAAGCCAGCACCAGAUGGGGAGAGGGAACAAAAGGUUGAUAUGGUGAAUGGGUGAACUUUUGCAAGUGAAAGAAAUGCCUGACUGAUAAACAGCUGUUGUUAAAUUUCCAGGCUGGGGUCUGAGGCCAGCCAAGAUGGGGAAAGCCUGCUAGGGUCCACUACAGUGUUGCAGUGCUCCUGUGUCACUUCAGCGAAAUUGACACAUAAUAGAACCUACCUGCAUACAUACCUUAAGUAAGAUAAGAGGGAAGUAAUGGAAUGUAAUUGAUGUUAAAAUAAAAUGUAUUUCGGUGUGACUAUAUAUAGCACAAUGAACUA